UUCCCUUCCUACAUUCAAUAAACUUGUACAUUGUGCAUUACGAACUUGUGUGUUCCCUUUCAUCGGUCAUCGAUACUAGACGUUAUUUAUCCUUCACCCUUUCAAUUUCCCUUCUCCCUAAUAUACAUUCGUUGAAUGUAAGGCAGCCAAAUCGAAUGUCCUUCCAUUUUUCAUCUACAAUCUUCAAUGAUGGAGAGGGAAACAGAUGUGAGAGUAGGGGAGAAUUCCACCGGUCACCACCGUUGAUUGAAUAUAUAUCGGUUGACAAGUUCUGGGUCUUGUUGACUUGUUCUGCCUUUUCACAGCUUUCAAUUUGCGUUUUUAACCCUAAAGAAUAAAGAAAACAGGGGUCACACGUAUCAUACGAGUCAAGAACUGCAAUGGAAACCACCUGUAGGAGUUACUCUCGAAACAUGGAAGACGAAUAUUAAAUGUUUAUCCGUCACAUGAACCCGCCACGAGGGUAACGAAUCAGGUAAAAACACUACAAUCAUCUAGGCACACACCCUUCAAUUUGACAAUUUCAUCAUGUUUUAGGUAUAGAAGAUCCUGAUCAAUGGCAUGCCCACAAGGUGUUUGUGUUAUUGCCUGAAAGAAACUGAUUGUUUGAUUUAGUGUUUUAUUGAAACAAGUGGACCGAGCUAACAAGCAUGGCAUUCUUUUGGAAGUUGUGAAAGUGCUCACUGAUCUAAACUUCAUUGUUAUAAAACACACAUUAUUGUUAAAGAAUUGUUUUAUUUACUACUAUCAUUUGUUUUAUUUUGAUGAUUAUGAAUUUAUUUAUAUUUCACCGAAUAGCAGAGAUGUUUUACAACACCGGUCACCAUCACGGUUACCAGCUAAACAAGGGGUACAGUGCGUUCACCUUUUGUUCAAUGGUUGUUGAUUCGUUACACCAGUCAGGCAUUGUUAUUCUUAUCAUUGAAUAUAUUUUUUUAAACUAAGGUACAGGUUGGCUAAGUUCUUACUCACUGUCAUGUGUGUGAUACAUUUUAUAGGCUAAUCAGAGAAUCAAGUAUGAAUAAUCAAAGUGGGGACCGCUCAUUUUUUUGACUAUCUAGAAGUUUGUCUCCGCCACAAAGAAGAGAUGUUAUAUUUGAAGCCACAAAGCAAAGAUUGAAAGAUGUUUUAUUUGAAGCGGUCAGGGCAAUAACGGAACUAAAAGGUAACAGAAUAUUCUAAAUAAAAGAAUCCUUGAUUCCUCUUGGUGACAACUCAGGCUCUUCAAGCAUCUCACUUAAGGAUGACAUUUCCGGUUGGGUUUAUUUAGUUGGCUCUAUAGUAUAUCAUUUGUUUUCAGUCUGGUUAGUCAAAGGUCUCUAACAUUCUUGUUAUUGAUUUCUGUACUAAUAUAUGUAUGCACAUGUUUUAGUAUUACACACCGUUCAGGUGUAAAUAAUAGAAUAUCUAAUGGCGUUGAUGGCAGCAGUUAAAAACUUACCCCACCGGUGCGGGUGAUUUUAUAU